rnacentral:rRNA from 1 species
AGAGUUUGAUCCUGGCUCAGGACGAACGCUGGCGGCGUGCCUAACACAUGCAAGUCGAGCGGAGACAGUGAGUAGCUUGCUAUGAGCUGUUUUAGCGGCGGACGGGUGAGUAACGCGUGAGCAACCUUUCCCAGACAGGGGAAUAACACACCGAAAGGUGUACUAAUACCGCAUAAGACCACGGGAUCACAUGGUUCUGGGGUAAAACGAUUUAAUCGGUUUGGGGUGGGCUCGCGUCCGAUUAGGUAGUUGGUGAGGUAACGG